rnacentral:rRNA from 1 species
GACGAACGCUGGCGGCGUGCCUAAUACAUGCAAGUCGGACGAGAGGCUGACGGGUGAGUAAUGUCUGGGAAACUGCCUGAUAGAGGGGGAUAACUACUGGAAACGGUAUCUAAUACCUCAUACCAUCAGCAGUUGCCAGAUGGGAUUAGCUAGUUGGGGGGGUAACGGCGAACUUGGGCGACGAUCCCUAGCUGGUCUGAGAGGAUGACCAGCCACAUUGGAAUUGAGACACGGUCCAGAUUCCUCCGGGAGGCAGCAGUGGGGAAUAUUGCACAAUGGGCGCAAGCCUGAUGCAGCCAUGCCGCGUGUGUGAAGAAGGCCUUCGGGUUGUAAAGCACUUUAAGUUGGGAGGCGUUACCAACAGAAUAAGGACCGGCUAACUUCGUGCCAGCAGCCGCGGUAAUUC